AUAUGUCAUGAACAAAAACUUCUUGGAAUAUUCAAGAAAUAUUCCGUCAUGACUUUUCAGUUAGUGAAGUGAGUUUUCUAAGAAUUACACACGCUUUCAGGCCCUGACAACUUCGAAGAUAUAUUCCAUCGUUGAGUGUUUCAAAGACUUAAACAGUAGUUUCAAAAUCGUUUGUGUUCGAUUACGAGAAAAUGUGAUCAACUGCUUGGUCGUUUGGUCACUUC